ensembl:ncRNA T14G11.4 ncRNA
UUUCCUUCUGUUGGGGGCAUCGUUCUCGUUCCAAUAAAAUCAUAUUCAAUGGGAGUUUUUUUUUGUCGAGGCCUGCCUUCCUGACAUGUGACGCAAAUUUCGUUGUGCAAAGAGAAUCCUGGAGCUGGCGAG